rnacentral:lncRNA from 1 species
GUAAUUUCAAAUUCUCAGUGUGUGUUUUCAGUUUAUUUAUUCUCAGUGUGUCUUUUUGAAAUCUCAGUGUGUAAUUUUCAAUUCUCAGUGUGUAAUUUUCAAUUCUCAGUGUGCGUUUUUCAUUUUUGUAAUCUCAGUGCGUCUUUAUGAAAUCUCAGUGUGUAAUUUUUAAUUCUCAGUGUGUAAUUUUCAAUUCUCAGUGUGUAAUUCUCAAUUCUCAGUGUGCGUUUUGAAGUUUUUAAAUCUCAGUGUGCUUUGUUGUAAUUCUCAGUGUGUAAAUUUUUCGAAAAAUGGUUUAAACAUAGUUUUGACGAGAACGGCUUGCCAUAAUAAA